rnacentral:pre_miRNA from 1 species
CUUGAAUAAUUUGAAGACUUCAACUUGCAAACUUAAAGAAUUUAAAGACUUCAACUUGCAUACUUGGAGAUUUUGAAGACUUAAGGC